rnacentral:lncRNA from 1 species
AAAAUGACUGGAGGCCAUGAUGUUUGAACUUUUCCAUUGUCGGAUCUGCUGAGAAUUCAAGCAGGGCUGACCCCUGGAGAUUUCUCUCUUCAGCUCCUGAGAUGGAAAGAAUGAAAGUCUGAAUCUUAUUAACCAGAUCCACAGGACUUGGACUGAAAGAAAUAUGAAAACACAAUUUCACGUUCAAGCCUGGGAAGGAAAAAUAACUUCAGAGUGAACCAGAUGUACUUUGGAAUUCCUUGAGCGGCCGCACAGCAAGACCUAGGCAGCAUGUGAAUGUGUGACUGAGAGUGUGUGUGAGCAUGAGGGAGAGUGUGUGAUUAUGUGUGUGUGAUUGUGUGCAUGAGUGAGAGAGAGUGUGUGUGUGUGUGUGUAUGUGUGAAUUGUGUGUGAAUGAGAGUGUGUGGUUGUGAGUGGUGUGUUUUAGUGGUGUUUGUGAGUGGGUGUGCGAGAGUGGUGUAUGUAUGUGUGUGAUAUGUGCAUUCAUGAGAGCAUGUGUGAGUGUGUGAGAAUGUGGGAGUGAGUGUACAUGUGUGUGAGAGUGGUGUGUGUGAUUCUAUGCAUAUUUGUGAGAAUGUGUGUGUGUGUGUGAGCGUUUGUAAAAGUGAGUUAAGCAUAGAGAUGUGUGACCUUUUGUGAGUGAAUGCGUGUGUGCAUGUGGUCAUCUGGAUGGAAAACUGGUUCUAAAAUUUUCACAAGGUCCUUUUUUAUUACCAAACUGACCAAAAAGUGUUAAAUGACCUUUGAAGAUGGAGCUUCCUUUUUACAGAAUGGGUCAUUCUGUGACAUGUUUCCUCGCCUUGGUCCCUGCCAGGAGAGGAUCUUCCUUUAUCUCUGUCUAAUUAAAAUGACUUGCGAGCAUUUUCCUACAAGCAAAGGCUCUGUCUUCCCUCAUCGAGCGAUUCAAGCCUCCCCAUCAGAAGCAGCAGAAGAAUUCCCGGCAGCUUUCAAGUGCCAGGCACAUGUUUCUGGCUGUCAAGCUUUCCAAAUGUGUGCAGGCAGUUGCGGCUGGAGCACCCUCGAUCACACCCACCACCCUCUCCCUCUCCGGUGUCUUUAG